rnacentral:lncRNA from 1 species
AUGGGCAAAGGAGAUCCUAAGAAGCUGAGAGGAAAAAUGUCUCAUAUGCAUUCUUUGUGCAAACCUGCCGGGAGGAGCACAAGAAGAAGCACCCUGAUGCUUCUGUCAACUUCUCAGAGUUCUCCAAGAAGUGCUCAGAGAGGUGGAAGGCCAUGUCUGCUAAAGAAAAGGGGAAAUUUGAAGAUAUGGAAAAGGCUGACAAGGCUCAUUAUGAAAGAGAAAUGAAAACCUAAUUCUCCCCAAAGGGUAGACCAAAAAGAAGUUCAAGGACCCCAAUGCACCCAAGAGGCCUCCUUCGGCCUUCUUGUUCUGUUCUGAGUACCGCCCCAAAAUCAAAGGCAAGCAUCCUGGCUUAUCCAUUGGUGAUGUUGCAAAGAAACUAGGAGAGAUGUGGAACAACACUGCAGCAGAUGGCAAGCAGCCCUAUGAGAAGAAGGCUGCCAAGCUGAAGGAGAAGUACGAGAAGGAUAUUGCUGCCUACAGAGCUAGAGGAAAACCUGAUGCAGCAAAAAGGGGGUUGGGCAAGACUGAAAAGAGCAAGAAAAAGGAGAAAGAGGAAGAUGAGGAGGAGGAGGAAGAGGAAGAUGAUGAAGAAGAUGAUGAUAAAUAA